CUGGGCUAGAAAAGGCCACGGACCUUCCACCAGUUUCUCUAGGUAGAGCUCCGGCUGUCCCUGUCUCUCAGCCACAGUACCAGACACGUGAGAAUGAAAGUUUUUGGCAUAACUACUGCUUCAACUAGCCUCUAACUACAACCUUUAGCAGAUGUUGGAAGUGCAUGAGGAACAAAGGAUGGAGAAGCAGCUUGGAGGGAGCGAAGAACCAAAGAAUCUGCUCUGUGUUGUCAAAGCACCGUGUUCCAAACACUAAGGCAGCAGUUACUCAGCGCAUUUCAGCUGGUCGUCUUGACUGCUGAAUUGAUGUGAAGAGCAUCUCCAGGGAAAGCAAUGUGUCCAUUUUGCUCACAGUCCCAAGAACAGUGCUUGGUCCAGAACAGAA
rnacentral:lncRNA from 1 species